rnacentral:rRNA from 1 species
AGCGAACGCUGGCGGCAGGCCUAACACAUGCAAGUCGAACGAAGUCUUCGGACUUAGUGGCGGAUGGGUGAGUAACACGUGGGAACGUGCCUUUAGGUUCGGAAUUACUCAGGGAAACUUGUGCUAAUACCGAAUGUGCCCUUCGGGGGAAAGAUUUAUCGCCUUUAGAGCGGCCCGCGUCUGAUUAGCUAGUUGGUGAGGUAAAGGCUCACCAAGGCGACGAUCAGUAGCUGGUCUGAGAGGAUGAUCAGCCACAUUGGGACUGAGACACGGCCCAAGCUCCUACGGGAGGCAGCAGUGGGGAAUCUUGCGCAAUGGGCGAAAGCCUGACGCAGCCAUGCCGCGUGAAUGAUGAAGGUCUUAGGAUUGUAAAAUUCUUUCACCGGGGACGAUAAUGACGGUACCCGGAGAAGAAGCCCCGGCUAACUUCGUGCCAGCCGCCGCAGUAACAC